CAGGAAGCAGGCCAAUGAGACUAAGACGGCUGACUCUUGAGAAAAAGUACCAGGGCCAAAUGCAAAGCCAAAGGCUGGCACUAUCCAGCGGUCACAUGAUGAGUCAACACAAGACCUCACAGACUCAGCAUCGAAGUGAACGCAGACACUCUGGAGCCCCAGGCAAACACACAGGUGGCAGUCUCACUACCGUGAUCAUCUUCACCUGCCUCUUCACUUGUCAUUCAGUUUUCGCUACGAACUCGUGGCAGCAAAGCACAGGAUGGCUCCUAGCAUGGGGUGCUGUCCCGAUCUUGAUUUGGGUGAAGGGACCAACAGUUUGACCGCCCCUUGCUUCUGCCGAUUCAGUGCCAACAGUGACAGCUUCCACAGUUAAGAAACUCAAGUUGCAGUAUGAACAGUCUCCAGUGACAGGAAACUGCUACAAUCUCAAAUUUCCAAUUCAAUGCAACGUCCUCCCAGAAAUUCAAGGGUGAAGGGGAUUCCUGCUGCACAAUCAUCUUCAGCGGCACAACGACCUGAUGGGCAGGCCUUCACAAUUUAAAAGAACAGGUGCAAGAGAUAACUGGGGAUGACACAACGUUCUCUUUUUAAGUUUGCACAUCUCACCCAGAAAUCCCUGCCCAAUCUGCCAUCUUUUGAACCUGCCAUUGCAUCCUUCAAUGUAACUGCCCAUCAGUGGGGAUGCAAGAACUUCAACAAACUCAGUAAUAUCAAACUCUGAAUCAGAGGAACUGGCAAAAGUUCAGAUUAUGAGGUUUAUAAUUGUUAAUCUCUUCAUCUGUUUUGCCCACCCCACCUCACUUCUGGCAACCAGUGUAUGUGGUGACCCUGGAGAGCCUGCUCUUCACUGCUGAAUUAGACCCUCACAUCCUGACUGUGAUCCAGCAGUUCCGGGCCUUGCAGGCCUAAGGAUCAUUUUUUUUCCCCACUUCAUGUCAAGAUUUUCUUUAUAUUCUCAAAAUAAAAUUUUCUGUGGAAGGCUUUUUUUUUUCCUUCUCUGUA